GGCCAGGUUCAGCAAUAACUGUAUUUAAUUUGAGGGUGAAGCCCACUUCGCAGUCAGAGCAAGCUGCCCUGACAGAUGAGGGCUUGGCCUCCUGCGAGUUCUUUCUGUAAGGUACACCUCUGAUUUCCAAAAAUCCAAGGGGGAAAAGGUAAAAACAUAGUGUUUUGACUCUUGUGCCUUGUUUCUAGGCCAAUUACAGUAUUGCAAAUGCUGUUUACCUCUCUUCAUCUUGGUGAACAGCCUUGCAGGCAGAAGGAUCCAUCCCUGCUAACCAAGAAGUGGUAUUUCACCCCACGUUUGUCUCGGCAGCAGUUUGAUUCCAGGUGCUGAAAGUAGAGGUUGUGCAUAUGAAUCCAGGCAACAGAAGUCUGAUGGGAAUAGGUGUAGCUCAGCUGUAUUGCACCUAGAGCAAAUUACAGGCCUGUAAUAAUAGCAGUGAAAAAGAGCAAAAUGAGGGUGCUGACUCUGGCUGCAAAAACACGUAUUUCUCUGGGGCCCGCAUUGCUGUCAAUGCUAGUUGCACUGAAGGGGAACAAAUACCUCCAUGCCAUGCAUCUUCUGAAAUGUUCUGCUUUCUUUCCAUCUUAUCCUUUUACCCUAUAGCUCCGAGCUGGAGUCUGAUUUUAACAGUGACUCGUCAAAUGCAGAAGUGAAUGGACAGACCUCGUUGCUGGAGCUCUCCACCUGCCCGAGCCCUGUCCAGAGGUGGGCAUCGCUCACCAAGAGCCCUGUGGCACUGGAGGAAAGCCCCAAAACAUCCAAAGUUGCUGAUGUUCCAUGUUCUUCCCCACCCCCAGCUGCUGACACCUUCCUCCCUGCAGUCACCUUUCUUCCCACCAUACCAGCCGGGUUAUCUAGGUCUUCAUGAGCAGCCUGGCCCUCAGCUCUGCAUCCUCACCCGCUGCACCACUGCAGUUUGUCCGUGUCUGCUGCAGGGAGGCAAGGGUCCUUGCUGGUCUGGGGACAAGCGAGAAGGAUUUACGAGAGCUCCUUCCCUCCGAGCCUAUCCCUG
rnacentral:lncRNA from 14 species